UACGGAGGGAGCUAGCGUUGUUCGGAUAUACUGGGCGUAAAGCGCACGUAGCGGCGCCGUAAGUCAGGGGUGAAAUCCCGGAGCUCAACUCCGGAACUGCCCUUGAAACUGCCAGUGCUAGAAUUCUGGAGAGGCGAGUGGAAUUCCGAAGUGGUAGAGGUGAAAUUCGUAGAUAUUCGGAAAGAACACCAGUGGCGAAGGCGAACUCGC
rnacentral:rRNA from 1 species